CUUUGUAGCUGAUCCAUCAUCCAAGAUGGCCACCAGCCGGGGACUUAGUUUAACAUAGGACCCUAUGGGAAAUGCAUACAAAUGAUUUCUUUUAGAGAACCACUGAAUGGAAUAAAACCAAACAUAGCAUGAAUGUUCCUUAUGGGGUGCUGACCAAGUGUUGUUACUUUGUAGCCGAUCCAUCAUCCAAGAUGGCCGCCAGCAGGGGACUUAGUUUAACAUAGGACCCUAUGGGAAAUGCAUACAAAUGACUUCUUCUAGAGAACCACUAAAUGGAAUUAAACCAAACAUAGCAUGAAUGUUCCUUAUGGAGUGCUGACCAAGUGUUGUUACUUUGUAGCUGAUCCAUUAUCCAAGAUGGCCGCCAGCAGGGGACUUAGUUUAACAUAGGACCCUAUUGGAAAUGCAUACAAAUCACUUCUUCUAGUGAACCACUGAAUGGAAUGAAACCAAACAUGGCAUGAAUGUUCCUUAUGUGUGCUGACCAAGUGUUGUUACUUUGUAGCCGAUCCAUCAUCCAAGAUGGCCGCCAGCGUGGGACUUAGUUUAACAUAGGACCCUAUGGGAAAUGCAUACAAAUGACUUCUUUUAGAGAACCACUGAAUGGAAUGAAAUCAAACAUGGCAUGAAUGUUCCUAAUGUGGUGCUGACCAAGUGUUGUUACUUUGUAGCCGAUCCAUUAUCCAAGAUUGCCGCCAGCGGGGGACUUAGUUUAACAUAGGACCCUAUGGGAAAUGCAUACAAAAUGACUUCUUUUAGAGAACCACUGAAUGGAAUAAAACCAAACAUUGCAUGAAUGUUCCUUAUGAGGUGCUGACCAAGUGUUGUUACUUUGUAGCCGAUCCAUCAUCCAAGAUGGCCGCCAGCAGGGGACUUAGUUUAACAUAGGACCCUAUGGGAAAUGCAUACAAAUGACUUCUUUUAGAGAACCACUGAAUGGAAUAAAACCAAACAUGGCAUGAAUGUUCCUUAUGAGGUGCUGACCAAGUGUUGUUACUUUGUAGCCGAUCCGUCAUCCAAGAUGGCCGCCAGUGGGG
rnacentral:lncRNA from 1 species